rnacentral:rRNA from 1 species
AUGCAAGUCGAGGGGUAAGAUCCGCUUCGGUGGAUACACGACCGGCGAAUGGGUGAGUAACACGUAUGCAAUUUACCUUUAACUGGAGGAUAGCUACGGGAAACCGUAAUUAAUACUCCAUAAUAUUCCGAAAUCGCAUGUUUUUGGAAUUAAAGUUUCGGCGGUUAAAGAUGAGCAUGCGGGGCAUUAGUUAGUUGGUAGGGUAACGGCCUACCAAGACAACGAUGCCUAGGGGGUCUGAGAGGAUGAUCCCCCACACUGGCACUGAGACACGGGCCAGACUCCUACGGGAGGCAGCAGUGAGGAAUAUUGGGCAAUGGGCGAAAGCUUGACCCAGCCAUGCCGCGUGCAGGAUGACUGUCCUAUGGAUCGUAAACUGCUUUUAUACGAGAAGAAUUUCCCCGAUUCUUCGGGGGUUGACGGUAUCGUAUGAAUAAGGGUCGGCUAACUCCGUGCCAGCAGCCGCGGUAAUACGGAGGACCCAAGCGUUAUCCGGAUUUACUGGGUUUAAAGGGUGCGCAGGCGGAAUAGUAAGUCGAUGGUGAAAGCCUACAGCUUAACUGUAGAAUUGCCAUUGAUACUGCUAUUCUUGGGUGCAGUCGAAGCGAGUGGAAUGUGUAGUGUAGCGGUGAAAUGCAUAGAUAUUACACAGAACACCGAUAGCGAAAGCAGCUCGCUAGGCUGUUACUGACGCUGAGGCACGAAAGCGUGGGGAGCGAACAGGAUUAGAUACCCUGGUAGUCCACGCUGUAAACGAUGAUCACUAGUUGUGGCGAUGCAUUGUCAGUGACUGAGCGAAAGCGUUAAGUGAUCCACCUGGGAAGUACGUCCGCAAGGAUGAAACUCAAAGGAAUUGACGGGGGCUCGCACAACCGGUGGAACACGUGGUUCAAUUCGAUGCUACGCGAGGAACCUUACCUGGGCUUAAAUGCAGAACGACCUCCCGGGAAACCGGGAUUCCCUUCGGGGCGGUUUGCAAGGUGCUGCACGGCUGUCGUCAGCUCGUGCCAUGAGGUGUCGGGUUAAGUCCCUUAACGAGCGCAACCCCUAUUGUUAGUUGCCAACAGGUAAUGCUGGGGACUCUAGCAAAACUGCCAGUGUAAGCUGGAGGAAGGUGGGGAUGACGUCAAGUCAGCAUGGCCCUUAUGUCCAGGGCUACACACGUGUUACAAUGGCCGGCACAAAGGGCAGCUACCACGCGAGUGGAUGCUAAUCUCUAAAUCCGGUCUUAGUUCGGAUCGGAGUCUGCAAUUCGACUUCGUGAAGGUGGAAUCGGUAGUAAUCGCGCAUCAGCAACGGCGCGGUGAAUGCGUUCCCGAGCCUUGUACACACUGCCCGUCAAGCCAUGGGAGUUGGGGGUACCUGAAGUUCGUAACCGUAAGGA